GAUGAACGCUGGCGGCGUGCUUAACACAUGCAAGUCGAACGAAGCACUGUAUUUGAUUUCCUUCGGGACUGAUUAUUUUGUGACUGAGUGGCGGACGGGUGAGUAACGCGUGGGUAACCUGCCUUGUACAGGGGGAUAACAGUUGGAAACGGCUGCUAAUACCGCAUAAGCGCACAGCAUCGCAUGAGGCAGUGUGAAAAACUCCGGUGGUAUAAGAUGGACCCGCGUUGGAUUAGCUAGUUGGGGAGGUAACGGCCCACCAAGGCGACGAUCCAUAGCCGACCUGAGAGGGUGACCGGCCACAUUGGGACUGAGACACGGCCCAAACUCCUACGGGAUGCAGCAGUGGUGAAUAUUGCAAAAUGGGCGGAAGCCUGAUGCUGCGACGCCGCGUGAGCGAAGAAGUAUGUCGGUAUGUAAAGCUCUAUCAGCAGGGAAGAUAAUGACGGUACCUGACUAAGAAGCACUGGCUAAAUACGUG
rnacentral:rRNA from 1 species